CCCUUAACUAUUAAAAAUUUCGUUUUGGUCCCUUAACUUACUUUUUGGUUUCAUUUUGGUCCCUUUAACUCUUCCUCCGUCAACCACUUUGGUCCUUUAUGUUAGGAUGAAUGUAUUAGAGUUAAGGACCAAAACGAAAUCAAAAAAUAAAUUAAGUGACCAAACGAAACCAAAAAAUAAGUUAAGGGACCAAAACGAAACUUUUAAUAGUUAAGGGACCAAAACAAAACCAAAAAAUAAGUUAAGGGACCAAAACAAAAUUUUUAAUAGUUAUGGGA
rnacentral:pre_miRNA from 1 species